AACUCCAAUAGCUUCUAUUAAAUUAGUUACAGUUAAAAAGCUCGUAGUGUGAAUUCUGGCCGGAGCGGUUGGUGCGACUCUCUGAGUUAUUACUUGCAUUGUCUAUGGUCAUCCUUGGGGAGAACCUGUCUGGUAUUAGGUUGUCGGACAGGGGGUACUCAUCGUUUACUGUGAAAAAAUUAUAGUGUUCAAAGCAGUCUUACGCCGUUGAAUAUACUAGCAUGGAAUAAUAAUAUAGGACCCUUGUACUAUUUUGUUGGUUUGUGCACGAGGAUAAUGAUUAACAUGGACAAUUGGGGAUAUUUGUAUUUCAGUGGAAGAGGUGAAAUUCUUGGAUUUCUGAAAGACAAACAACUGCAAAAGUAUUUAUCAAGGAUGUUUUCA
rnacentral:rRNA from 1 species